GACACACACUCCUCCCACUGUUCACUACAUUGAAGCACUCUACCCAUGUAUGUGUCGCUGCUCACACAGUUACGAGGAGACACGCUGUAUCGGACCAAAAUCAAAGAGGACGUAGUAACUGAAAAUGUCAAACAGGACUUAUUUUUUUUGUUUUUUUAGCUAACCUGAGACCGAAGCCAUUGACCCCGUCCGUAACGUUUACUCCCCCGGCUCAUUCUCCUUUGUGUUGGGCGUAAAACUUCGGCUCUGUCAGCAUUUACCGUUACCGACCACCCACCUCUCACGUUACCUUUGACACGGGUUGUCCCCGUUUGACUCUCGGGAGGAGGCAUUUCACCAGAGUGAGAGAGAAGAAGAAGAAAAAAGGCUUAACUUUACCGUGUGCAGCAAAGCUAAGUCAGGAAUCAAAGAAGAGGACAGACAGGAUACUUCGUAGUCAGUGGGAUGUUAGAGCUCUGGGAGCAGGACUGACUGCAGGAGCAUGGUGAAACACCAACCCCUCCAGGUCUAUGAGCGCCAGCUGUGUUUGUCAUGUAUCACUGGGAUCUACGGUUGCCGCUGGAAACGCUAUCAACGUUCCCAUGAUGACACCACCAAGUGGGAGCUGCUGUGGUCCCUCAUCCUCCUAUUUACCUUCUGUCUGCUGCUGGUCUGGUUCUACUUCUGGUGGGAGGCACAUAACGACUACAAUGAGUUCAACUGGUUCCUCUACAACCGGUCUGGGCAGUGGAGUGAUGGCACUGUUCCCAUCCUGGCCACCACCGCUGCUGGCUUCACCUACAUUGCAUUUUUAAUGGUUUUAGCACUUUGUCACAUAGCACUUGGGCAACAGUUGAAUUUGCACUGGCUCCAUAAGAUAGGAGUGACUGCUGCUCUGCUCACCACCGUUGUCGGGGUGAUAUCUGUCAAUCAAACAUGGGGACAAGAGUGGGACGUCAUCCCCAUCUCGCUGCAGGCUACAGGUCCGUUCCUUCACAUAGGGGCUCUUGCUGCGGUCACAGCGCUCUCUUGGAUUGUGGCCGGGCAGGUCGCCCGUGCAGAAAAAACAAGGUUCCAGGUGGUGGUCAUGCUGCUGUAUCUCAGUGUGUUACUGGGACUCUACGUGGUGCCGCUGUACAUCACCUCCCCCUGCAUCAUGGACCCCACUUCACUCAAACAACGCCCUGAUGUCAUUGGCCACCAGGGAGCCCCCAUGCUUGCUCCAGAGAACACACUGUGGUCCUUUCAGCGAGCUCUGCAGAUGAACGUCACUGGGUUGGAGGCUGACGUGACUAUCAGUGUGGACGGAGUGCCUUUCCUGAUGCGUGACCGCACCCUGCGGAGGACCACAGACGUGGGGAGAGUUUUCCCUGACAGGCAAAUGGAAGACGCCUCAUCCUUCAACUGGACAGACCUGCAGCAGCUCAAUGCAGGACAGUGGUUCCUAAAGGAGGACCCUUUUUGGACCGUGCAGACCUUGUCUCCGCGUGAGAAGCAUCAUAUUGCCAACCAGAGUGUGUGCAGCCUGGAGCAGCUUCUAAAGCUGGCAUCUUUUCAUAACAGCACAGUGGUUUUCCGGCUGAGGAGACCUCCUUCAGAGCACCCCUGCUACCACAGCUGGAUCAAUGAUACACUACAGGCAGUGCAGCAGUCUGGGGUUCCUCAGAGCCUGGUUAUGUGGACUCCUGAUGAACACAGAGCUCAGGUGAGACAGAUGGAACCCGGUCUGAUCCAGACCUCAGUGGAAAAACAGGGUCCUCAGAGUCUCCAUCAGCAAGGCAUCAGCAGGCUGCUGCUCCGAUACAACCAGGCCAGCCCACAGGAAAUCAGAAACUUCUCUGAGAGCAACAUCAACCUCACGCUUCACACCAUCAACGAGCCCUGGUUGUACUCGGUGCUCUGGUGCAGCGGAGUGUCUUCUGUCUCCUCAGAGGCCUCACAUAUUCUCAAAAAGGUGCCUUACCCCAUCUGGCUCAUGAGACCAGAUGAAUACUGCCUGAUGUGGGUGUCUGCAGACCUCAUCUCCUUUGCAGUAGUCAUAGGAAUAUUCAUUUUCCAGAAGUAUCGUAUGAGCGGCAUGCGCAGCUACAACCCUGAACAGAUCAUGCUGAGCGCCGCGGUCAGGAGGUCCAGCAGAGACCUCAACGUCAUGAAGGAGAAACUGAUCUUCUCUGGUCAACCCCAGUAGCGGCCUGUGUGAUGUGCACCUCCUCUGCCAGCAGUGACUUCUUCCUUUAUUCCAUGCAUCCAUUGCAUCCCCCGUUACCUGCCACUUCUCUGCCCCUCUCCCCUUCAUCCAUCCAUCCAUCCCUCCAUGCACCAAACCUCCCCCACCACCCUCCCCCUCUGGAGACAGCGUCAUGUGUAGGGGAGCUAAUAGACGCCCCAGUCUGUCUAGACAGCCUCUAGUGCUGGGCGUCAAAGAGGUGGGGAAUGGAGUCGGCGGUGCUGAGGAGCUGUACGUGGACAAUGGCUACGACUACUACACCAAUCAGGGCAUUAGCCAGUGAUUGGGACUCAGCCUGUGUGAACCUGCUGUAGCGAGACUGAGACAUCAUUCCUGUUCCAGUCAGCAUGAAGUCUGACCUCCCCUGUCCGACUGAGUAACUGACAGACUGCUGUAUCUGACGGAGAGAAACAACCACCCAGUUGUGUACAUGCUGUAAAUAGUUUUGUGUUUGGCUUGUCAGACAUACUGUAUAUCACACGGGACUACACGCACUUUUUAUCAAUGGGAUUCGCCAAAUCCGUGGCCUCCUCUCUCACAUCUAUAUGUCCGAGAGGCCCCACCCCCCUCCGCUUCUUUUUAAAGAUGUCUUUCCAGAUUUCUUUACUUUAAGCUAAAUUUCCAAAGCUUGUUUUUAACCACUGUACAUGAUAUUCUUCUCUUAGCAGAUGAAUUAGUUUUAAACGAGGCUUUAUCGCAGCAUGAGACUAAACGCUAAUUAUGCUCUUGCCUUCUGUCGGCACUCCACUGUGCUGUUGUUCAUAAUAAUAGUACUUAUAUUAAUAUUUAUAUUUAAAGAGAAAAAGACAAAAAAAAACCUAAACAAGCUGUUUACAGAAGUCCUGCCUUCUCCUCCAAGUGAAAUAUUCACAUGGUGUAUGUAAGAUAAUUAUUUUGAUAGAGGCUAAAGGCCCCGCCCCCACCUCCUCACCCUACUUUUGACCAGUGCAUGUGACUGUAAUGAUCAUAUCACCUGAUUUAUGUGAGCUGUGCUCCCAGUGCACCAGAGCUACUGGUGGAAAUGGUUCCGGGGUUAGGAUUUGUGCUGUCUUUUUAUGGUUAAUGUGAAUGUGUUUGGAUUUUUUAAGAUGUGAACGGUGUAUUGUGUGUGUGUAUUCUGGCUGGGUACAUUUUUUUUUAACCUGUGUGCAGUGCUAUGUUGAGUGUGUUAUUGUACAUAAAAGGUGAAAUUGCGUGAGAUGCUGCAGCCAACCACGCUUUACGUUUGAACAAUGUGACGGUGACGAAUAAUAACCACAAUAAUAGCAAUAGCCUGGUUAAUGAUGGAAGAGAUUUCACUUCCUCGCAGUUACAUCUGUGGUAUUUUAGUGUUGACAGACAGCAUGCAUCUAAGUGUUGGUUGCUGGUGUAAAACUGACUGCUGUAAAGGUUAAUGAAGUGGGUGCUAAAUGUGAAAAUAAAGCUCUGAGCUAAUUGAAGGGACGCUACAGGUAUCACAGCCGGCAGCACAGGGUCAAAAUGGAUUGCCUUUCGUGUUCAUUUUCUUUAUUUGGGUAUUACUGUGCCUCAGAAGUAAACAUUAAAAAAUCUUCAAAUUAAA